UGCUGACGACCGGCGCACGGGUGCGUAACGCGUAUAGAACCUACCUUAUAGUAAGGGAUAGCCCAGAGAAAUUUGGAUUAAUACCUUAUGGUAUCAUAAAUUGGCAUCAAUUACUGAUUAAAGAUUUAUCGCUAUAAGAUGGCUAUGCGUUCUAUUAGCUAGUUGGUAUGGUAACGGCAUACCAAGGCUACGAUAGAUAGGGGUCCUGAGAGGGAGAUCCCCCACACUGGUACUGAGACACGGACCAGACUCCUACGGGAGGCAGCAGUGAGGAAUAUUGGACAAUGGAGGCAACUCUGAUCCAGCCAUGCCGCGUGUAGGAAGACUGCCCUAUGGGUUGUAAACUACUUUUAUAGAGGAAGAAACCCCGAUAUGUAUAUCGGUCUGACGGUACUCUACGAAUAAGGAUCGGCUAACUCCGUGCCAGCAGCCGCGGUAAUACGGAGGAUCCAAGCGUUAUCCGGAAUCAUUGGGUUUAAAGGGUCCGUAGGCGGGUUUGUAAGUCAGUGGUGAAAGUUUUCGGCUCAACCGGAAAAUUGCCAUUGAUACUGCAAGUCUUGAAUCAUUAUGAAGUGGUUAGAAUAAGUAGUGUAGCGGUGAAAUGCAUAGAUAUUACUUAGAAUACCGAUUGCGAAGGCAGAUCACUAAUAAUGUAUUGACGCUAAGGGACGAAAGCGUGGGUAGCGAACAGGAUUAGAUACCCUGGUAGUCCACGCCGUAAACGAUGGUUACUAGCUGUUCGGUUUUCGGACUGAGUGGCUAAGCGAAAGUGAUAAGUAACCCACCUGGGGAGUACGUUCGCAAGAAUGAAACUCAAAGGAAUUGACGGGGGCCCGCACAAGCGGUGGAGCAUGUGGUUUAAUUCGAUGAUACGCGAGGAACCUUACCAGGGCUUAAAUGUAGUAUGACAGGUUUAGAGAU
rnacentral:rRNA from 1 species